AACGAACGCUGGCGGCAGGCCUAACACAUGCAAGUCGAACGAACCCUUCGGGGUGAGUGGCGCACGGGUGCGUAACACGUGGGAAUAUGCCCUUAGGUAAGGAACAACGUCUGGAAACGGGCGCUAAUACCUUAUAAUGACUCCGGUCCAAAGAUUUAUCGCCUAGGGAUUAGCCCGCGCCUGAUUAGAUAGUUGGUGAGGUAAUGGCUCACCAAGUCGACGAUCAGUAGGGGGUCUGAGAGGAUGACCCCCCACACUGGGACUGAGACACGGCCCAGACUCCUACGGGAGGCAGCAGUGAGGAAUAUUGGACAAUGGGGGGAAACCCUGAUCCAGCCAUGCCGCGUGAGUGAAGAAGGCCUUCGGGUUGUAAAGCUCUUUCAGAUGUGAAGAUAAUGACGGUAGCAUCAGAAGAAGCCCCGGCU
rnacentral:rRNA from 1 species